UGACGUCAAGUCCUCAUGGCCUUUAUGACCAGGGCUACACACGUACUACAAUGGCCGGUACAAAGGGCAGCGACACAGCGAUGUGAAGCCAAUCCCGAAAAGACCGGUCUCAGUCCGGAUUGGAGUCUGCAACUCGACUCCAUGAAGUUGGAAUCGCUAGUAAUCGCGGAUCAGCACGCCGCGGUGAAUACGUUCCCGGGCCUU
rnacentral:rRNA from 1 species